GCUUAACUAUAGCCCGACCACACCACCAAACACAUCCACCUAAUGAAACAAACCAUUUGACUAGAAAAGUAUUUGAGAAAGAAACUUAAAGCCGGAGCAACCGUACCGCAAGGGACAACUGAAAGAAAAAUGAAAUUAAAAGCAAAAAAAAGCAAAGAUCAACCCUUGUACCUCUCGCAUCAUGGUUUAGCAAGAAACAUCAGACAAAAAGUCCUUUAAGCCUGCCCCCCCGAAACUGCGUGAGCUAUUCCGGGCAAUUAAACGAUC
rnacentral:rRNA from 1 species